rnacentral:rRNA from 1 species
GAUGAACGCUGGCGGCGUGCCUAAUACAUGCAAGUCGAGCGAACGGACGAGAAGCUUGCUUCUCUGAUGUUAGCGGCGGACGGGUGAGUAACACGUGGAUAACCUACCUAUAAGACUGGGAUAACUUCGGGAAACCGGAGCUAAUACCGGAUGAUAUUUUGAACCGCAUGGUUCAAAAGUGAAAGACGGUCUUGCUGUCACUUAUAGAUGGAUCCGCGCUGCAUUAGCUAGUUGGUAAGGUAACGGCUUACCAAGGCAACGAUGCAUAGCCGACCUGAGAGGGUGAUCGGCCACACUGGAACUGAGACACGGUCCAGACUCCUACGGGAGGCAGCAGUAGGGAAUCUUCCGCAAUGGGCGAAAGCCUGACGGAGCAACGCCGCGUGAGUGAUGAAGGUCUUCGGAUCGUAAAACUCUGUUAUUAGGGAAGAACAUAUGUGUAAGUAACUGUGCACAUCUUGACGGUACCUAAUCAGAAAGCCACGGCUAACUACGUGCCAGCAGCCGCGGUAAUACGUAGGUGGCAAGCGUUAUCCGGAAUUAUUGGGCGUAAAGCGCGCGUAGGCGGUUUUUUAAGUCUGAUGUGAAAGCCCACGGCUCAACCGUGGAGGGUCAUUGGAAACUGGAAAACUUGAGUGCAGAAGAGGAAAGUGGAAUUCCAUGUGUAGCGGUGAAAUGCGCAGAGAUAUGGAGGAACACCAGUGGCGAAGGCGACUUUCUGGUCUGUAACUGACGCUGAUGUGCGAAAGCGUGGGGAUCAAACAGGAUUAGAUACCCUGGUAGUCCACGCCGUAAACGAUGAGUGCUAAGUGUUAGGGGGUUUCCGCCCCUUAGUGCUGCAGCUAACGCAUUAAGCACUCCGCCUGGGGAGUACGACCGCAAGGUUGAAACUCAAAGGAAUUGACGGGGACCCGCACAAGCGGUGGAGCAUGUGGUUUAAUUCGAAGCAACGCGAAGAACCUUACCAAAUCUUGACAUCCUUUGACAACUCUAGAGAUAGAGUCUUCCCCUUCGGGGGACAAAGUGACAGGUGGUGCAUGGUUGUCGUCAGCUCGUGUCGUGAGAUGUUGGGUUAAGUCCCGCAACGAGCGCAACCCUUAAGCUUAGUUGCCAUCAUUAAGUUGGGCACUCUAAGUUGACUGCCGGUGACAAACCGGAGGAAGGUGGGGAUGACGUCAAAUCAUCAUGCCCCUUAUGAUUUGGGCUACACACGUGCUACAAUGGACAAUACAAAGGGCAGCGAAACCGCGAGGUCAAGCAAAUCCCAUAAAGUUGUUCUCAGUUCGGAUUGUAGUCUGCAACUCGACUACAUGAAGCUGGAAUCGCUAGUAAUCGUAGAUCAGCAUGCUACGGUGAAUACGUUCCCGGGUCU